ACUCAAAUGAAUAGACGGGGACCCGCACAAGCAGUGGAGCAUGUGGUUUAAUUCGAUGAUACGCGAAGAACCUUACCAAGGCUUGACAUCCUAGGAACCCCCUGGAAACAGGGGGGUGCCUUCGGGAGCCUAGUGACAGGUGUUGCAUGGCCGUCGUCAGCUCGUGUCGUGAGAUGUUGGGUUAAGUCCCGCAACGAGCGCAACCCUUGUCGUGUGUUAAAUUUCUCACACGAGACUGCCCGAGCCAAUCGGGAGGAAGGUGGGGAUGACGUCAGGUCAGCAUGACCCUUAUGCCUUGGGCUACACACGUGCUACAAUGGCCGGUACAACGGGUUGCUAAACCGCAAGGUGGAGCUAAUCCCAUCAAAACCGGUCCCAGUUCGGAUUGGAGGCUGCAACUCGCCUCCAUGAAGUUGGAAUUGCUAGUAAACGUGGGUCAGCAUACCACGUUGAAUACGUUCCCGGGUCUUGUACACACCGCCCGU
rnacentral:rRNA from 1 species